CCUAACAUCUCCCCAGCGCCGUUCUCUCUAGUCUACCGCUUUCCCCUAUCUUCUACAUCUUCCAUGCGGCGCUGAUCAGUCCCAAGAAACCCCAGCCACCAAUCUUCGCUGGCCUCAACACUCCAAACCGACACCCACUCACACUUUCAACCGAGACCCUCGAGACCCCCUCACGCCGCUCAUUUUCGACCCCUCUUCUAUUUUCUCACGACCACCAAUCUCCAAAGGCCACAACACUGUCGGUCGAGAUCCCAUAGGCUCUAACCCCACUGCUCCUCAGCUGUUUCUUUCUUUGAAGAGAAGAUGGAGACCAUGGCCACCAACCACCAAGGCAUCAGUUUGGGUUCUCUGAUGAAGACCAAACACACGAAGGACGAAGGCUCUCUUCGGUGUUAGGGCCUCCACGAACCAGGUUCUUUACUCUUGUGACUCGCUGCCUUCUCUCUUCCCCGAAGAUGGCUCUAAGAUUCUCUAACGCCAGCGACGAAACCACAUAAAAAGGUCUUUCGAACAAAUCUCCACGCUUCGGUCUCAAGCCACAGUGGUUCAAACAGGAUCUCGAUUUGUCAACGGGUUUGCCGAAUUCCGGGAUUCAUCUGUUCCAAGCAUGUUGUAAUUGUUAUCAUUUUUUUUUCUUUUUCGGGCCUGUAAACAU